GCCCUCGCCUCAGAGCACGCCUGGACUUCGCCUCAGAGCACAUCCGGGACCUCACCUCAGAGCGCACCUGGACUUCACCUCAGCGCACAUCUGGGCCCUUAGAGCGCACCUGGACUUCACCUCAGAGCACAUCCGGGGCCUCACCUUAGAGCGCAUUGGGGCCCUCAGAGCGCACCUGGACUUUACCUCAGACCACAUCCGGGACCUCAGAGCACACCUGGGACCUCAGAGCACACCUGGACUUCACCUCAGAGCACACCUGGACUUCACCUCAGAGCACAUCUGGACUUCACCUCAGAGCACAUCUGGGACCUCAGCUCAGAGCACAUCCAGGCCCUCAGAGCACACCUGGGACCUCAGAGCACACCGGGUCCUCAGAGCUCACUGGGAUCUCGCCUCAGUGCUCACCAGGACCUCAGAGCUCACCGGACCUCAGAGCUCACCUGGGUGUCAGAGCUCACCAAGACCUCGCCUCAGAGCUCGCUGGGACCUCAGAGCGCACCGGGGCCUGGGAGCUCACCGAGCGGCUGCGCUCUGCCUGGCGAAUGCCGGGCGCCAUAAGGCACCCGGGUCCUGCAGAAAGGACUCUGUGACUUAGAGCUUCUUGGGCCUCUAGCCCCAUCUGUGCUGCAAAGCUGAGGACAUCCCAUCGGCCGAUGCGAGUCACACUGCCAAGUGCCCUGUGACUCCUGCCUCACGACAUCGUCAUCGCAGUAACCCCUCGAGGCAGAUGUGUCAUAAUGCCCAUUUCACACAGGUGCACACCUCGGCUCGGGGAGGUUAACCGCCGCCCAGCUUCUCAGCCGGCCAGGGGAGGCUUCAGGGUUAGCCCGUCCCGGCUGACUGCUGAGCCCGGGGUCCACCCUGCACACCGAGCCCGCCCAAAGUUUGUGUCAACAUGUGUGGUGCCAACGUGACUGUCCCCAGGGCCAGCGUGGCCUCCGUGGCCUUGAUUACGACCUUUCCAUGCUGCCUUGCUUGGUCCACAACAGGCUCCCGGCGAAUAUUUACGGAUGACAAUUCAGUAAGCGGCAGGUGAGAAAACAUUCUUGUUAGUGACGUAAACAGACAAGGGCCGGUCACCGUGGCUUAGGCCAGAGGUGCUCUGUGGGACUCACCGUCCAGCUGACCACCUCCCUGGACGCUGGCUCCACGCCCCACGGGACCUGCUGCAGCCGUGGGACCGGCGUGGGGACCCGGCCCAGGAAUCUGCACUGAACGAACGCAGUCCCCAGCAACUCUGAGACCACUGCCUCUUCAUCGUCAUCCUCCCGGAGGUAGAGGGUGACCGUGUGGCCACUAGGGACGGAAUUACACCCGGUGCGUUUGCAAAAUCAGAGCCUGGGGACCGAGGAGGCACCAGACUUCCAGGAGAGCCUCCAGGUAGAUAUUGGAAAUGGGGCCGCGGGGACCCAUUUGAGGCCGGUUCAUCAGAGCGGGCACCUGCCGAGGGCCUCAUCCACACUGCGGGACCAUGAGUCUGCACAACACACGUGACAAAAAGUCCCAAAUCCCCACGAGCAGGCCAUUCCUGCACGCCCCACUAUGUGCCUUCUUUACUUGAGACUCUGCUUCUGUGGAGCCCACUCCUCCCUGAGAACAGACACUCGGACAAAAAUAAAACAGCACUUCAUCCGAAGGAUGAGCCGUCCUGUGCUGCAAGGUCCACCUGCAGCACUGCCCGCAGCGAGGCCAGCAGGAAGCCACAGAAUUGGAGGAGAAUGAAAGAGACCUGCCAACUACAACAGAGGCUCAGGAAGUUGAAACUGUGUCUCAUCGUAGGACUUGCAGAGGCACCACUAGACCAUCAUCAGUCAAAAGGAGUCUCCCAUCUUAGGAAAAAACCAGCCUGGCGAUCCUAGCCUGCUGCGCUCACCAAACCCUCACGCUCACAACCCUUCUUGCCUAUCCGACUUGCAUUGUCUUCCAAUUUUUUUUUUCUCUGUCUCGCACAUUUUUAUUAAACAGAUUUUCAUGCUA